rfam:Ovis aries breed Texel chromosome 15, whole genome shotgun sequence.
UCCCUGGUAGCUCAGAGGUUAAAGCGUCUGCUCCAAUGCAGGAGACCCGGGUUCGAUCCCUGGGUUGGGAA